rnacentral:rRNA from 1 species
UGGGGAAUAUUGGACAAUGGGGGCAACCCUGAUCCAGCAAUGCCGCGUGUGUGAAGAAGGUCUUCGGAUUGUAAAGCACUUUCGACGGGGACGAUGAUGACGGUACCCGUAGAAGAAGCCCCGGCUAACUUCGUGCCAGCAGCCGCGGUAAUACGAAGGGGGCUAGCGUUGCUCGGAAUGACUGGGCGUAAAGGGCGUGUAGGCGGUUUACACAGUCAGAUGUGAAAUCCCCGGGCUUAACCUGGGAGCUGCAUUUGAUACGUGUAGACUAGAGUGUGAGAGAGGGUUGUGGAAUUCCCAGUGUAGAGGUGAAAUUCGUAGAUAUUGGGAAGAACACCGGUGGCGAAGGCGGCAACCUGGCUCAUGACUGACGCUGAGGCGCGAAAGCGUGGGGAGCAAACAGGAUUAGGAUACCCUGGUAGUCCACGCUGUAAACGAUGUGUGCUAGAUGUUGGGUAACUUUGUUAUUCAGUGUCGCAGUUAA